rnacentral:rRNA from 1 species
UGGGGAAUCUUGCGCAAUGGGCGAAAGCCUGACGCAGCGACGCCGCGUGAGUGAUGAAGGCCUUCGGGUUGUAAAGCUCUGUGGGGAGAGAAGAAUUAGUGGUGGCUAACACCUGCCAUGAUGACGGUAUCUCCUUAGCAAGCACCGGCUAACUCUGUGCCAGCAGCCGCGGUAAGACAGAGGGUGCAAACGUUGUUCGGAAUUACUGGGCGUAAAGCGUGUGUAGGCGGCCACGUAAGUCGGAUGUGAAAGCCCCGGGCUCAACUCGGGAAGUGCACUCGAUACUGCGUGGCUUGAGUACUGGAGAGGUUGGUGGAAUUCUCGGCGUAGAGGUGAAAUUCGUAGAUAUCGAGAGGAACACCGGUGGCGAAGGCGGCCAACUGGACAGAUACUGACGCUGAGACACGAAAGCGUGGGGAGCAAAC